CGGACGGGUGAGUAAUGUCUGGGAAACUGCCCGAUGGAGGGGGAUAACUACUGGAAACGGUAGCUAAUACCGCAUAACGUCGCAAGACCAAAGAGGGGACUUCGGGCCUCUUGCCAUCGGAUGUGCCCAGAUGGGAUUAGCUAGUAGGUGGGGUAACGGCUCACCUAGGCGACGAUCCCUAGCUGGUCUGAGAGGAUGACCAGCCACACUGGAACUGAGACACGGUCCAG
rnacentral:rRNA from 1 species